UGGUUUAUCACAUAUUCACCCCAAUUUAGCACCUCUCCCUCCUGUGCCUUCAUUUCCCAAUCUUCUAAUUUUCGCAAGCCCUAGAGCGUGUAUCCACAAGCUUCUCUCUACUGAGAUUUUCCUGCAAGCUGUACCCACAAGCUUCUUUUCUCUACUAUGAUUCUUCAAGCAAAGCCUCUUAUUGUUCGUGGAGCUCUUCGGUUUGGGUUCGUUUUUGUCUUCCGUUGCUUAGGAACAAAAACGUAGUGCAUUUCUGGGUUGAACGACUUCGACCGUCAAGGAAUUGUUCGUCGAAGGUCCUGGUGCCUCCAAUCGAGGGGCUCUAGCGUGUGUUUGCUCCCACACCAACCAUCAGGUAUAAUAAUUUGUUACAAAUAAUCCUAUCAUAGUGAAGUUGAUUCCUGCAACUGGCGUUAUCAAUUUUGCAAUAUAGGGUGUUGGUCCAUUAUUGUUCCAGACAAGGAAAAUACUCUUCCAGGUUAUAUUGUUGUUAUUAUUCUUUUUUCCUGUAUUAACUAUUUAUCUUAUUCAAUGCAAUUGAUACGUAACUCUGAUAUUGUAGAGGAGUGAUAAUAGUUGGAAGAAAAGUACCACUGACUAUAUAGUAACUCCUUAACUUCGGCCAUUACUAUUAUGGACUGGAGCAAUACUUAUUUGCAGCUGCAGAGCAUUGGAGCCAUUAAUUCUACCUUCAGAACCAGGUUAGGUUGUUAAGGACCGGCUUCUGAAUUUUGUGAGAUCAUUAUCAACGGUUCUGGCCUUUGCCUAUUGUUUGUCAAGGUUCUACUAAGUUUUUGUUGUACCAGUUCACACAGAGUUUCAUUUUUUUUUUGUUGCAGCUGUCCUACAGUUGUAGUUUCUAUCUUUUAUUAAUAUUUUAUUUAUAAUUGUACAUUAAUUUAAAUUUAAAUGUUACUUGAUUGUAGACUUUCUGCGCUUCAGGACAUUGUAGCAAAGUUAUUUUCAUUUUCACAGCA